rnacentral:rRNA from 1 species
GAAGGCUAAAAUGAUCCGACAGAGUUAAAGAUUUUAUUCUAAAAAGAAUAAUCCCUGGCGGUUCCCUACCCCUCUAGAGGGGUAUGCGCAUGAAAAUUGAAUCUGCACAAAAGACCAUUUCUAUCCUUGAAUAAUUCAUUUUGCCCACCACUGUCUAAAAGAAGUUAUUGUAUUUCUAAUUUCCUAAGUCAAAAGGAAUAAGACAAGCACACGUGUAGAUUAUGGGUAGAAAAGCGUGUAAUCCAAUCAGACGGGUUGACUGUUGGUGAAAGACGACGGAAAAAGAGAAUUUAGAAGUAAACAUUGUUUAUAAUCCUUUGUUGAAAGAGGUUAUAGGGAACGU